rnacentral:piRNA from 1 species
CCCUGUGAUGAGUUGCCAUGCUAAUACGGA